GGCCCUCUUUGUAACUUGGCUCAGUCAGUUGAACUUGGGACUUUAAACCUCAAGGUUGUGGGUUUGAAUCCCACGUUGGUCC